AUUGAACGCUGGCGGCAGGCCUAACACAUGCAAGUCGAGCGGGGUUUUCGGACCUAGCGGCGGACGGGUGAGUAAUGCGUAGGAAGCUACCCGAUAGAGGGGGAUACCAGUUGGAAACGACUGUUAAUACCGCAUAAUGUCUACGGACCAAAGUGUGGGACCUUCGGGCCACAUGUUAUCGGAUGCGCCUACGUGGGAUUAGCUAGUUGGUGGGGUAAUGGCUCACCAAGGCGACGAUCCCUAGCUGGUUUGAGAGGAUGAUCAGCCACACUGGAACUGAGACACGGUCCAGACUCCUACGGGAGGCAGCAGUGGGGAAUAUUGGACAAUGGCGCAAGCCUGAUCCAGCCAUGCCGCGUGUGUGAAGAAGGCCUUCGGUGUAAGUCGACUUUCUAGCGAGGAGGAA
rnacentral:rRNA from 1 species